AUUGUUUUUUGAGCAGUUCUUAGAUUUAUAUACUUUCAGUAUUUAUUUCAUCAUUUAAUAAGAGUUUAUUGAAUACUUAAACUAUGUAUAUGGUACAGUUUUUUUUGUUUUUUUUUUUGUUUUUUGUUUUUUUAUGCCACGAAGUGUGUUUUAUUUUCAUUAUUCAUACAAAUAAUUUUCUAUAAUAUUCCAGGGCAAACCGGAGAAUUUGGCAGUCCGAUUGGGGGGGUCUCGAAGAUGACGGGGGUAGGAAAUCUCUCUUUGGUCGGCAGGGUGUUCUUCUCCUGCGUCUCCGUUUUCUUCAGCUUGGCCUUAUCGAAGCUGGCGAUUUCCCCCAUGUCUGGUUUGUCUGCCAUUUUCUUAAAACAAUCCGUGUAGUCGGGUUCCGAGCCCGGGAUCCUGGUGCUCCCACUCGCGUUGCAGUUUUAAACACUUAGAAUAAGUAAAAUUUUUUAAAAAUCUGUGCCUUCAGGAGGCUUACUAUCCAGAGAGAAGAAAAAGAUAAUGAUCAGUAAAUACAACAAACAAAGAGAGUAUGUUUGAAGGUGAUAAGUGCUUGAAAAGAUAAGAAGAUCUCAAAAGGAGAGCACUGAAAGGGAGACCAAGCAGGAGGAUUAGGAGUUACACUGUAUUUAAAAUAAUGACUCUCGGCUGGGCUGGGGCGGUGGCUCACAACCUGUAAUCCUAGCACUUUGGGAGGCCGAGGCAGGCGGAUCAUGAGGUCAGGAGAUGGAGACCAUCUUGGCUAACAAAGUGAAACCCCAUCUCUACUAAAAAUACAAAAAAUUAGCUAGGCGUGGUG
rnacentral:lncRNA from 1 species